UUCAGAUUUUCCACAAACCUGACCGGAAUAGCAGGCGACUUGAGGUUUGACAAUGUAGCUAUUGAGCUCUUUCGCAUCGUCUAAAUGGCUUCUUUGGAUUUACCGGUAUGUGGUAAGAUUGGGGCGCAGCGACCGAGACGUUUUACUCAAACAUCUGAACUAUUCCAGACGAAUUCGACUGAAAACACAACAACAUCUGAUUCCGUCGACUUAAGGCAUGUUACCUUCACCCCAGGUGUGUUUGUCCACCUUGGUGACUGUGAGCACAAUGGCUGUGCUUGACCUCUAUCUCCUAGAACAGAGCAUGCUGGGGCGCGGGAGUCGGGCUUGGCCAGCUGCAUGGGCAUGCACAGCUGUGGGGUUGGGUGACCUGGGCUUCCUUCUGGCACUUCGCUUUGUGUCAGCUGGUGUUGCGUCAGAAGCUCGCUCGCCACGGCGUGCUUUUGCCAGCGCUCUCUGGUUCUUGUUCCUGUCUUUACUGGAACUCAAGCUUUUCUUCGUGUGCCAGAACUACAGGCAUGAACGGCGGCCAGCAGACCCAUUGGCACGCAAGACCCUCACUCUUCUGCUCUCAGUGGGGCUGCCCUCGCUCUUUCUAGUACUGACAGGAGCUGAGCAUGUAACACCAGCACACAGGAAGCAGGAGGUUCGUGCCAGGCUCCUUUGGGUGGCCUUAGACCUGCUGGAUGUGCUGGACCUGCAGGCUGGCCUGUGGGAAGAGGCUCAGAGUGGUGCAGUGGUCCCAUUAUGGGUUGAUGGGGUCAUCUUCUUCUAUUGCUAUGUGCUGCUGCUUCUCUUGCCUUGUGUCUCACUCACCGAGCUGGCACUACCAGGGCUGAGAAGAGCACGCAGGGAAGCUGUGUACCCGUGGCUCAGUCUGUUUGCCAUCAAUGUGAUGACACUGGGGCUCAGGGCUGUGGGUGUACUCUGGUAUAGGGACCCAAGGAUAUCCACAGUGUUUGUGGGGAAGAAUGUGCUGGCACUGGCUCUCAAGCUUAGAUCAGCAUGGGACAUGCACAGAAACAGUAACAGUGGGGGACAAGGAGAAGGAGGUGAGGGUGGAGGGAGAAACCAGAGCUUGGGGAUGGAUGCAGAGCAAAUGGAGCAAGGACAGAGCAGUGGCACAAUUCCAUCCACUCGGGACCACGCACUCCUACGCACUCAUGGCCAAAGCCAAAGCCACACAAGGCCGGAUCAUGCUGAUAGCUCCUUGGGGUCUGCCUAUAUUUCGCAGGAGCUCUAGGUGGACUGAUCAGCCACUGUGGAUAAGCAACAAUGACAGACUUUUUGGUCACCAGUCAUCCUUUUGGUCUGGAUUUUGGCCAAAAACCAAAUGGUAUUUGCUUGUUCCCAGCAUUGAUUUCUACCAGGUUAGUAUGUUUAAAAAAAAAAAAAAAAGAAAUCGUAUCAUCAUCUAUUCAAUGGGUGAAUUUUUUAUGCUGGUUAAGGUACACUCUUUUCAUUUUUAAUAUUGCAGUGCUUUAUCAGGACAGUUUGCUUCCCAUCAUACACAUUCUACCCUGUU